rnacentral:snRNA from 1 species
AACGGCGUGCCUCGGCAU